AGGUGGAUGUGAGUGCGACAUCUGUCACCCCAUUGAUCACCAGGGUUGACUCGGCUGAUCUGGCUGGCUAGGCAGGUGUCCCCUUCCUCCCUCAAUGCCCCAUGUGCGUCCCUCCUGAAGCUGUGCGCUCGGUCAAAAAGGACGAGCACCCCCAGUAAAGGAGGACCUUUUCUUGGUUAAGGGUAUACGAGUAGCUGCACACCCCUGCUAGAACCUCCAAACAAGCUCUCAAAGAAAGCCCGAGACACUUUCUAAAGUCAAAAAAGAAUAUAAAAGAGAAUACUAUUAUUU
rnacentral:snRNA from 1 species